rfam:Microgenomates (Curtissbacteria) bacterium GW2011_GWC2_41_21 TT53_C0018, whole genome shotgun sequence.
GCCGAUGUGGCUCAGUGGUAGAGCGUUUCCUUGGUAAGGAAAAGGUCAUGGGUUCGACUCCCAUCAUCGGCU